rnacentral:rRNA from 1 species
AUUGAACGCUGGCGGCAGGCCUAACACAUGCAAGUCGAGCGGAUGAAGGGAGCUUGCUCCUGGAUUCAGCGGCGGACGGGUGAGUAAUGCCUAGGAAUCUGCCUGGUAGUGGGGGAUAACGUCCGGAAACGGGCGCUAAUACCGCAUACGUCCUGAGGGAGAAAGUGGGGGAUCUUCGGACCUCACGCUAUCAGAUGAGCCUAGGUCGGAUUAGCUAGUUGGUGGGGUAAAGGCCUACCAAGGCGACGAUCCGUAACUGGUCUGAGAGGAUGAUCAGUCACACUGGAACUGAGACACGGUCCAGACUCCUACGGGAGGCCGCAGUGGGGACUAUUGGACAAUGGGCGAAAGCCUGAUCCAGCCAUGCCGCGUGUGUGAAGAAGGUCUUCGGAUUGUAAAGCACUUUACGUUGGGAGGAAGGGCAGUAAGUUAAUACCUUGCUGUUUUGACGUUACCAACAGAAUAAGCACCGGCUAACUUCGUG